CCCAAGAGGCUGGAAAAUAACUGUCUUGGAAGGACGGAGCUUACACAAUGCGCUACAGGGACUCGAGCCCUCGUACAAAGGCAGGCAUUGGCUUCGCUCAGCAGAUGCUGUUUGAACAGGGCAAACUGCACAGCACUACGCCCCGGAGGCCUGCGAGCCCUUCCCAGGGCACAGGGCUUGUGCUGGGAAGGAGGGAGGGACGGGUUCUGCUACCCACAUAGUCAACAGCUACGGAAACAAACCCGCCAUCGCCAAGUAGCUAACCGUGUGAGGAAAGCAGUUUACCUUUCUCCUGAUGGCAUCCUUUCCUGGCACUAUCUCACUUGCCGUGUUGAGUCAACUCAAUCCAACGAGCACUCUCGACCAGACCCGCUUCCCCUAAGUGUUUGGGAAAGGCGUGCUGAACUGCGGCAAGUGGGCCUGGAGGCUGGAUGCAAAAUUGCUUCUGCACCUGCGAGAUCUUAGGCACGGCUGCACGUAGCUAAAGGCCAGUAAAGCCAAGGGAAGCGGUGAGCGGAGCCCGAGCUGCUCAGAUCGCUGCAACAGCCGGGAAAAAACAUCCCCAGGAAAACCAAGGCAAGCGCAAAAGGAAGGUGAGAUUGGCUGACCCACCUACCCAUCUUGUGUUCUGUAGCUUCCACUCUCCAGACAUCUCCCAGCCCCAGCUGCCCCUCCUGGGUGUCUCCAAGAUUAGAGACGUGUUACAGGAGAGUUGAUUACAAUCAACCUCACUGCUACAGCACUUCUGCUAUUCCCUAUUUAGCAUCCAUUUUGCCGUCGUUACUCUCCCAGAGCUAUUUCUGCCAAGCCUAGAUCCUUGCUGACAGGUCUCUCGCAAAGAAGGCUGCAGCGCAUAAAAUUAGAGACAUGGGGGCAGACAGCUUCUGGUCGCACCCUGCCAGCCACCGGCGGGGGCUCCGCGCGGCAGGGAGGGUGCUCGGUGCCCUGCUUCGCCCGACACGCAGGGCAGGGCUUCGCUGCUAAGCUGGCAGAGGCGGGCAGUAAUGGGAUGUCAGGUCAUCAAUAAUCCUAUCCACGCUUCCAAGGGAACUCGGCAAGGCAGGGUAUGAGGGGCUGGGGGCCAAAGUCUCAGAAGUGAGACCGUUCAGGCAAGAGGAGGAAAAACCUGCGGAACAGUAAGCAGAACAAGUAUUUUCUCAGCUGCCAUUUGAGAGGGAUGCCAAGUCCUGUUCUCCUUUAGAUCUAGAGAUGCCGCAUGUGGAGGGCGCAAAUCCCCAUGAAUGAUGUGAUCCUCAAAUCACACCCUACCGGAGUUUCCAUUCUUCCCCAUGAAAGAAAAUACAUGUGGGUUUUCUACCUCCUGGAUAAAGCGGAAAUUCCAGACCAAACCACUUAAACCCCUCUUUUAGGGUAAGAUCUUCUAGCUCACUUCUAAGUGUCAUCACCUUUUCUCAGCAAAUGAUGCCCCAUGCAGAUUUCACCCUAAGUGCCAACAGCUGGAGCUGGGCUCAGACACAGCCGCCCCCACCCCAGUCCCACAGGGACACGAGCAACCUUUGCCAGGUUCCCACCAGCACGUGACCCAUCGCACGCCUCGCGUUCAUCGUAAGGACUCGCAACCCCGUCAGAGAGAUUUAAAAAGAAAGCUUACCAGUGCUCUCAGGCACUAGCAUUUUAUUAAACAAACCUUUUAGGGUUACGCCUAUUGCAACGCCUGAAUUCCCAAGUGCCGGCAGCUCCAGCAAGAGGCAGCAAGUCCAUUCCUACAACAGCCCAAUGCACGGUCACUUCCCGAGGAGGGGUGAAGCCUUCAGCCGUCCAGGAAACUGGCACCCUCUUUCUUUUUCUUCUCUGAAUUCCCAUAUAUAGCAAGAGCUACCUGAGAUUGCAGAGAGCUGAGCUAGGUUUGUUUGCCAGAUCAGUUGAUCGCAUACCCUUCAGGCUCAGCAGCAAACAUCUGCGAUCCCUGCCAUCAAGCAGGGCCGGUGUGGAUGGUGAUGUUUUGCUUCCCUUCACUGAGAAACCAGCACAAUCCACGGACACAGCCGGGCCGGGUGCUCGGUGAGGUCCAACAUUGCAAGUCUUACUGUGGUCUUUUAAACCACAGUAUGCUCUAAGUGUAAAGUACAUAAAAAAAAAAUCAACCCAGUCACCCAAUGUAACGCCUUGCCUCCACACUAGUUUUAGAGCAGAACAGCUAAUAACUGUUCGUUACCUCUGCCAACAUAAAGUGGAUCCAGACCUCGCAUUUGCCAACUAAAACUAGAUAAGGUCUGUAACUCCUGGGGAGGCAGCGCUGCCCCUCCCCCGUCUGUCUCCCUAACAGCAAAUAGAGCCAAACCCAGCAGGAAGAGCUGCUCUAGUAAGAGAUGCUGCAGGAAAUAGGAGCACCCAACUAAAAGAGGGCAAGAGUCCUUUCAACAGUCUAUUUUUUCCAAAUGAAUUAAUGGAUCUGUUCUCUCGAUGGCAGAAUAUGCCGUGUAGGGUUUUACUUACAGAGAAAAGCCGCUGUAUUUGGCAGCAUCCAGCUGUAUCACACGGUGACCCGUGACUUUAUGGCUAGCAGUCCCAGCGCAGCCCUCGAUAUCCCCUUUCGCACACAGCGGGCAAGAACAGAGUAGCGCUGCAUCCUUGGUUUCUUACCCUGCAUCUUAGCUACUGCUGUCAGCCAAGAAAACAUUUUGUUAUCAUAUAUGUUAACGACAACCCCCACAAAAGUAGGUCCUUUAACUGUAGUUUCCAGUGGCUGGGAUUGCAGCAAACUGGGAGCAGGGGCACGAGGUGGGGUGGAGUGGGCAAAACUUGCCUUCUCCCAGGGCAGACAAUACCUACAUGAUGUUUGUUUAUUUGUUUUGCUGAGCGGUUCAAUAAAGUGAACAAGCACAGUAUGCGCUAAGCUCGCUCCCCAGGGAAGGAGGCCUGGUUCCUACUCCGUUCUGGCGAGAUCCCUGCACUGCCUUACUCAUUUCCACGAGCUAGAGGAGUCUUGGCACAAACUGAACUUCUCUGGGGGUGGAGGAAGCUGUUCGUGUCUCCCCAUUUUGAGUUCAGGACUGCAUUUUUAAUCCAAAUCCAAUGUUAAUGAGACCUACAGCUCAGUACAGCUUUCCUGAAGAAGGUCAGGCAGCAGCAGAGAGUUGGUACCACCACCUGAAGCUGGGAGGAAACCCGGGGUAAUGUGACAGUUUCAGCAAACCCAGCAAGCCUACCUCCUGUGCUACGCAAGUGCCAGCGUGGGAGCUCCUUUUCCAAGCAUGGCUUAAGCUGCAGCACCUGAUGUGCCCAGGAGCCUGGUCUAAUCCUCCAUCUCUUUCUUCUUUUUUAAACAUAAGUUAUUAGGACUAUUAGCCCUUUAAGCAUUUAUAUCAAAGAAAAGACCCAAUAAAAGAGCUUCGGGCA